AAUCCUGGCUCAGGAUGAACGCUGGCGGCGUGCUUAACACAUGCAAGUCGAGCGAAGCAAUUUAAGUGAAGUUUUCGGAUGGAUCUUAAAUUGACUGAGCGGCGGACGGGUGAGUAACGCGUGGAUAACCUGCCUCACACAGGGGGAUAACAGUUAGAAAUGACUGCUAAUACCGCAUAAGCGCACGGUACCGCAUGGUACAGUGUGAAAAACUCCGGUGGUGUGAGAUGGAUCCGCGU
rnacentral:rRNA from 1 species